UACGUAGGGUGCGAGCGUUAAUCGGAAUAACUGGGCGUAAAGCGUGCGCAGGCGGUUGUGCAAGACAGAUGUGAAAUCCCCGGGCUCAACCUGGGAACUGCAUUUGUGACUGCACAGCUUGAGUGCGGCAGAGGGGGAUGGAAUUCCGCGUGUAGCAGUGAAAUGCGUAGAUAUGCGGAGGAGCACCGAUGGCGAAGGCAAUCCCCUGGGCCUGCACUGACGCUCAUGCACGAAAGCGUGGGGAGCAAACAGG
rnacentral:rRNA from 1 species